AUAUCUACCAUCAUGAACUUCGACUACGUCGUAGUUCUCGACGUUGCCCACCAGGAGGACGGGCAGGCGGGCGCCGGCGAGAUCGUUGAACAGGGGGAGCCACAUGAGCUCAUGCAGCACGAGGACAGCCUGUUCUACAAGCUCAGCAAGGAGCAGCACAGCUGACACCUGUCGACAGGAUGGAAGAGCGGCUUUGGAAAACGCUUUCUAUAGAAAGCCACCAACAUUUUUGCAUUAUUAUCGGCGAAGCUCUAGUUAUUUCAAUGCUUGAUAAUCAUGUACAUACGGCAUGGAACGUCUAGGUGUGACAGUUUGCCAAUGACGACAUAGACACGGGGCGUGCGCGUGUGUGAACACGUGUUCAUUGGCAACAUUGGCCGUCUGCUGUGAUACGAAUAGCAACCAUUCGAGCAAGAAAUCUUUACAUUUUUGACCUCCUGCGUUUGUAGGCUUCUAGAUCAUGUGACAGCGAGCAGGACUGAAUUGAUUACGCCUGCCCCUCACAACCCUGUGUUCACAGAGUUUCACUAAAUGUACCAUGGUGUAUAUUCGUGGGGAGGUAGAGUGGUUCGCGUUAAACUCCCACUUAUCUUGGGCGAUCUGUCUGCAUAAAGCAAUGGCGCCAAUAUUGGUAACGGUGUUGUUAAAUGUUGAUUCCUACUCGUAAUUCUACUCGUGUAGUUGACACUUUUAUUGGGACGUACUAGUAGAUUCAGGUGAUUCUGCUAGUGGUCAUCGUGUUAAAAAACGUGUAAUUUACAGUGUGUGUGUGUGUGUGUGUGUGUUAGCAGCUCUCAGCUCUGUGCUGCUGAUGCUCCAGUUACGUAUGCGAUGUGUCCUGGUUGUACAUGCAGUUAUCACUGCCUGUGUGGACAAUUCUGAUUGUGAUGUCGUGGCUUGAAAGCUUUCACUGCCUUGUUGCUAUUUCUCGUCAAAACGCCAAGUCUAUGCUUCGAGUGUAUUAUCUGUUUUAAGUGUCCAUCUCUUAUUAUAAAUACUCUCUAUUGAAGAAAUCUCCUAGAAAGCGGAUCUCCAGUGGCUUAGAAUCUCUGUGCGGUGUGAGAAAUCCAUCCAUCUUGUGAUUUUUGCCUUGUGUCUUAUAUUUGAAAAAAGGUGUUGGACGUUUGUAUUUGUUAUAUUGACCCUGACGUGUGGCUGCAUUGCCAGGGCUUAUAUAUAUUUUGGAUACAUGGAAUAAGUAAUGUAUAGGUGUACUUACUGCAUUUAAAGCUUGUAUUUUGCUGUCAGAAUGACAAAACUGGUGAAGUGUCUCCAGAUAUCAUUGCAGCAAUGUAGAAAGAAGCUCGCGAUAGCUCGGGAACGAUGUUGCUAUAUAGGCGCAUGCGUUUUUGAGGUAAAAUUAAAGAUGAUCGGCACGAGAAUGUGUUUUUUUAUUACAUGUAUUACAAUUCUCAUCACUGUGGCUGUGCCUUUGUUUAUCUAGAUUGAGCGAUCCCUCGUGUAUGGGCACAUAUGAUUACCUAGUAUAAAAUAAAUAUAUAUGGUGUGCCUUUAAUACGAGCAAAGAUCGCAUGUAGUUGUUUGUAUACGGUCUUUGAUACCACUUUCAGUGCGGAAUCUGCGCUGAAAUAUAUAAAGUGACUGUAAAUUUAUAUUAUUUCACGGUGCAUACUGUGAAACUUGAUAUUAUAUGGAUCUAGAGUGGAUAUAUGUCCUCACGUUGAAAAGGAGAAGGAAAGUGUGUAACGUUUUGUACAUUGAAGAAUUUUGUAAAUAUAUGCUUUUGUUUUACUUCUCAA
rnacentral:lncRNA from 1 species